GACGAACGCUGGCGGCGUGCUUAACACAUGCAAGUCGAACGGAAAGGCCCUGCUUUUGUGGGGUGCUCGAGUGGCGAACGGGUGAGUAACACGUGAGUAACCUGCCCUUGACUUUGGGAUAACUUCAGGAAACUGGGGCUAAUACCGGAUAGGAGCUCCUGCUGCAUGGUGGGGGUUGGAAAGUUUCGGCGGUUGGGGAUGGACUCGCGGCUUAUCAGCUUGUUGGUGGGGUAGUGGCUUACCAAGGCUUUGACGGGUAGCCGGCCUGAGAGGGUGACCGGCCACAUUGGGACUGAGAUACGGCCCAGACUACUACGGGAGGCAGAAGUGGGGAAUAUUGCACAAUGGGCGGAAGCCUGAUGCAGCAAAGCAGCGUGCGGGAUGACGGCCUUCGGGUUGUAAACCGCUUUCGCCUGUGACGAAGCGUGAGUGACGGUAAUGGGUAAAGAAGCACCGGCUAACUACGUG
rnacentral:rRNA from 1 species